rnacentral:rRNA from 1 species
GAUGAACGCUGGCGGCGUGCCUAAUACAUGCAAGUCGAGCGAACAGACGAGGAGCUUGCUCCUCUGACGUUAGCGGCGGACGGGUGAGUAACACGUGGAUAACCUACCUAUAAGACUGGUAUAACUUCGGGAAACCGGAGCUAAUACGGGAUAAUAUAUUGAACCGCAUGGGUGAAUGGAGAAAGACGGUUUUGCUGUCACUUAUAGAGGGAUCCGCGCCGCAUUAGCUAGUUGGUAAGGUAACGGCUUACCAAGGCAACGAUGCGUAGCCGACCUGAGGGGGUGGUCGGCCACACUGGAACUGAGACGGGGUCCAGACGCCUACGGGAGGCAGCAGAAGGGAAUCUGCCGCAGUGGGCGAAAGCCUGACGGAGCAACGCGGCGUGAGUGAUAGAGGUCUUGGGUUCGUAAAGCUCUGUUAUUAGGGAAGAACAAAUGUGUAAGUAACUAUGCACGUCUUGACGGUACCUAGUAAGAAAGCCACGGCUAACUACGUG